UAGUAGUUUGACUCCUGGCUCGAGGACGACGCUGGCGGCGUGCCUAAUACAUGCAAGUCGAGCGGACCGACGGGAGCUUGCUCCCUUAGGUCAGCGGCGGACGGGUGAGUAACACGUGGGUAACCUGCCUGUAAGACUGGGAUAACUCCGGGAAACCGGGGCUAAUACCGGAUGCUUGAUUGAACCGCAUGGUUCCAAUCAUAAAAGGUGGCUUUUAGCUACCACUUACAGAUGGACCCGCGGCGCAUUAGCUAGUUGGUGAGGUAAUGGCUCACCAAGGCGACGAUGCGUAGCCGACCUGAGAGGGUGAUCGGCCACACUGGGACUGAGACACGGCCCAGACUCCUACGGGAGGCAGCAGUAGGGAAUCUUCCGCAAUGGACGAAAGUCUGACGGAGCAACGCCGCGUGAGUGAUGAAGGUUUUCGGAUCGUAAAACUCUGUUGUUAGGGAAGAACAAGUACCGUUCGAAUAGGGCGGCACCUUGACGGUACCUAACCAGAAAGCCACGGCUAACUACGCG
rnacentral:rRNA from 1 species